CUAAAGAAUGUUCAUGAGACCAGUCUGGGAUCUAAAAAUUGAUCUGCUGUGACUGGGCAUUUCACCUUUACCAGAGUGGUAAGAGAGAACAGGGUUUCUGAGCUGGCUACCUCCAGCCCUCCACCUCCUUCCUUUGGGACUGACGUGCUUAUCUACCCUGCACUGGAUCUGGGCCGAAGUCUCUAUUUUUCUGUAUGAGUACAUUUUCAGUAAGAUGAGAGAGUGCGUCUAAUGAGUUGAUGGCUUUUGUAACAAAUAUUUUUCUAUCGCUGUCUUCCAACAUUUGGGCAAAAAAAGCAGAGAAGACUAGUUAAAAGAUGAAAUCAUGGUCACAUUGGCUAGAGGGACAAAUCGCAAAGCACAGUUAACGAUGAUAAAGGACGACAAAAAAUGGUCUCUGGCCCUGGGUUCUCUGCUGGCAGAAUCUAAGGGUGCAGACCUCAGAAGCAUUCAGCUCCUCUUGGCUGGGGAAGGCAGCCAUGAUUCAUCUUUUCACCUGGAUGCUGGAAUAUACUCUCUGGAAGCCAACUAGGAGGAGGUUUAAAGAUGCUCUUUGUCACCAUUAGGUAAACUUGAUUCCAGACUGAGAAGAAGAAAUAAAAAGGAAAAGACAUGAGUGCCCCUAGGUCCAUGAGCUUCAGAUAUUGAGCUUUCUUCACUUUAUGAACAGUGUGACUCUGGAUGCCAUCCUCUUCUGUGACAAGUGACCCUCUGAAAGGGAAGAGGGAAAGCAGGCUGCCAUGUCCAUGUCCACUCAGAUGCCUAAGGAUCAAAGUACUUCUCUCCAUCCACUCCUGUACCCACGCAUAUGUGUUUCUGCUCACGUAUUCAUCUUGUAGUUUGUGUCACUGGACAGUAGUUAUCUCCAUGAUACAUAAAAAUAUUAGUGUGAAUGCCA